UCUACAGCUUACAGCACAAACAUCGAGAACGUUGCAUAAUUACUACGAUACGUCCCAACAGACCAAGUUUCCCAAUUUUUUACCUCUCUUGAAUCCACUAAUACCAUAAACUUACUCUAACUAGUCUAUCCACUGACGACUACCAGCAGUGAUACCCCCACCCUUAUUUAGGGUAACUAUACUACCAUAACUCACCUUUAUUUACUCAAGCCUUACAUUAGAUAGGCACACCAUUUAGCCCCACUUUGAUCUCUAUGAUAGGGACACAACAUUUCUUGGAGUAUGUAUUCCUAAGGCAAACCUCAACACGUUUGCUAACUCUAAACUGAAGCACUUUUACACUACCCAAAGAAAAAUGCAGAGUCUAUAAACAAGGAAUUAUAGAAAAAUACGAAACAAUAACCUAUACUCCGCAUGUGACAACUCCAAGCACGCACUUUCCUAUGAAUCUAGAGCCUGAGCUUUGAUACCAACUUUGUCACGACUCGAUCCCACGGGCCGGAUCGACAUUAGGACCUAGGCCAACAUAAAGCCCUUAAGGCUUAUACUAAGCCUUAUUGUUCCAAAAUCCUUAACCAGGACCACAAUCAGGGCCCAACAUGCUAACAAAAUAAAAUAAAAUAUAAUAAAUUUAUUUGUGCAAACCCAACUCAAUAACUAUCAGAAAAAUCAAAAUUAGGGCAGCUCAGCUCAACCUUAAUACUUAUCAUACACAAACUAUUUAAUCUUCAUUAAUUAAUGUAGCACAUAAAUACAUUAGUGUCACAGCGGAGUUUUAAUAAUUAAAUAAAUAGAUAAAUAAAUAAAUAUAAAAAUGCAAAGACUAGAAGCCUCACUUUUCUCAACAG
rnacentral:misc_RNA from 1 species